UUCGGAUUGAAAUUUUAGUGACUGAGUGGCGGACGGGUGAGUAACGCGUGAGCAACCUGCCUUUCAGUGGGGGACAACAGUUGGAAACGACUGCUAAUACCGCAUGACGCAUGACCGGGGCAUCCCGGGCAUGUCAAAGAUUUUAUCGCUGGAAGAUGGCCUCGCGUCUGAUUAGCUAGUUGGUGAGGUAACGGCCCACCAAGGCGACGAUCAGUAGCCGGACUGAGAGGUUGAACGGCCACAUUGGGACUGAGACACGGCCCAGACUCC
rnacentral:rRNA from 1 species